GAAAGCUACUAUAGAAGUUAACAGAUCAAAACCAAGAAACAAAAGUUUGUGUUUCCAAGAAAAUAGAGUUGGUGUUGCUGCUCCUGAGAGAUUGCCCGUUGUGGCGAAGCCUCGACUUUCUGGUAGCAUUACACCUUUUCACAGUGUUGAGAAAUGCAGCAAAUGCAGAUUUGAUAGGUUGGAUACAUCAAGUUAUUGGCUUUCUCAGAUUAAAUUAGCUGAAACUGUUGGAAAACAUAUCGCAGUUAUCAAAUUAUGCCUCUUGUAUGGUUCAUAACAAAAGUCACAUAAUCAUUAGUUAGAUACGUAAAUAGAGUAAUAAAAUGUCCAUGACUUUGCUGGAGAUACUGAUGUCAAGAUGAACUUUCUUCAGCAAAUAGAAGAUGUAAAUGUUGUAUGCAGAGUUAUGCCUCUUUGAUGCUUCAGAACAAAACCCACAUAAUCAUUCAUUGGAUAGAUAAAUUUUAAUUUCGUUUGGAUUACUAAUAAACUGACAUAUGAAGAAGAAGAAUAGUUGUUCAUAAUACCGUCUGUAAAUUUAUACAUACAUAAAGAAAAAUUAUACUCAUGUAAAUCAAAAUUAACCAAAUGAAAUACACAGUAAUAGAGAGCGCCUCACCCGAAGUACUAAUAUUGACAGAAGGCGAAUUGGCCAGGCAUAUGAACAGAUUGCCCAUUUCUUCCCAAUUUCUAUUCCCCACAAAAUUCAAUUCUGCUUUGCUACAAAAAUAUAUGAAAUUGGACCAUAAAAUUUUUUUUUUUAAAAAAAAACUAAUAAAUUUCUGGAGAACCACAUCGAAUUUGUGGAAAAAAAACCACCUUUUGGGAAAUCAAUGGAGAGUUUUGCUUUGUCUAUGAGUGGAAGAGAGGUUUUCACCGGUUGUAAAUGCA
rnacentral:lncRNA from 1 species